AUUGAACGCUGGCGGCAGGCCUAACACAUGCAAGUCGAACGCAGUUGCGAACGGGUGAGUAACGCGUAGGUAACUGACUCAUAGCGGGGGAUAACUAUUGGAAACGAUAGCUAAUACCGCAAAAUGUGAGAUGGACCUGAGUUGUAUUAGCUAGUUGGUGUGGGAAAGGCGCCACAAGGAGACGAUACAUAGCCGACCUGAGAGGGUGAUCGUCAACACUGGGACGGAGACACGGCCCAGACUCCUACGGGAGGCAGCAGUAGGGAAUCUUCGGCAAUGGACUGAAUUCUGACCGAGCAACUCCGGGUGAGUGAAGAAUGUUUUCGGAUCGUAAAGCUCUGUUGUUAGAGAAGCGUUAACUAACCAGAAAGGGACGGCUAACUACGUGCCAGCAGCCGCGGUAAUAC
rnacentral:rRNA from 1 species